GAUGAACGCUAGCGGCAGGCUUAAUACAUGCAAGUCGAACGGCAGCACAGCAGAGCUUGCUCUGUGGGUGGCGAGUGGCGGACGGGUGAGGAAUACGUGGGAAUCUGCCCGGUCGUGGGGGAUAACGUAGGGAAACUUACGCUAAUACCGCAUGCGCCCUUCGGGGAAAGCCGGGGACCUUCGGGCCUGGCGCGAUUGGAUGAGCCCACGUCGGAUUAGCUAGUUGGCGGGGUAAAGGCCCACCAAGGCGACGAUCCGUAGCUGGUCUGAGAGGAUGAUCAGCCACACUGGAACUGAGACACGGUCCAGACUCCUACGGGAGGCAGCAGUAGGGAAUAUUGGACAAUGGGCGCAAGCCUGAUCCAGCCAUGCCGCGUGAGUGAAGAAGGCCCUCGGGUUGUAAAGCUCUUUUGUCCGGAAAGAAAAGCGCCGGGUUAAUACCCUGGUGUCCUGACGGUACCGGAAGAAUAAGCACCGGCUAACUUCGUGCCAGCAGCCGCGGUAAAGAGU
rnacentral:rRNA from 1 species